CGGCCGCGUCGACGGGCGCAUGGCGGAUGCCUAGGUAGCAAGAGCCGAUGAAGGACGGAACAAACACCGAUAUGCUUCGGGGAGCUGUAAGUAAGCUUUGAACCGGAGAUUUCCGAAUGGGGAAACCCAAUACCGCGAGGUAUUACCACAGUGUGAAUACAUAGCACUGUUGGAGGACACCUGGAGAACUGAAACAUCUUAGUAUCCAGAGGAAGAGAAAGAAAAAUCGAUUCCCUAAGUAGCGGCGAGCGAACGGGGAAGAGCCCAAACCAGCUUCGGCUGGGGUUGUAGGACGUUCACAACGGAUUUAAAGACUUAGACGAAUGGUCUGGGAAGGCCAACCGCAGGGGGUAAGAGUCCCGUAGUUAAAAAGUCGAUAAAUUUAGAACGUAUCCUGAGUACGGCGGAACACGAGGAAUUCCGUCGGAAUCCGGGAGGACCAUCUCCCAAGGCUAAAUACUCCUUGCUAACCGAUAGUGAACC
rnacentral:rRNA from 1 species